rnacentral:rRNA from 1 species
GAUGAACGCUGGCGGCGUGCCUAAUACAUGCAAGUCGAGCGAACAGACGAGGAGCUUGCUCCUCUGACGUUAGCGGCGGACGGGUGAGUAACACGUGGAUAACCUACCUAUAAGACUGGGAUAACUUCGGGAAACCGGAGCUAAUACCGGAUAAUAUAUUGAACCGCAUGGUUCAAUAGUGAAAGACGGUUUUGCUGUCACUUAUAGAUGGAUCCGCGCCGCAUUAGCUAGUUGGUAAGGUAACGGCUUACCAAGGCAACGAUGCGUAGCCGACCUGAGAGGAGGGGGAGCGACACUGGAAAGGAGACACGGGCAAGACCCCGACGGGAGGAACCAGUAGGGAAGAGUGGACAAUGGGCGCAAGCUUGAUAGAGCAAUGCCGCGUGGGUGAAGAAGGUCUUCGGGUAGUAAAGCACUGUGGGUGGGAAAGAACAGAAGAAGGUGAAUCCAGGGCCGUCAUGACGGUACCCAAAGAAGAAGCAACGGCUAAGUUCGCG